rnacentral:rRNA from 1 species
CGUGGAGACAGGUGGUGCAUGGCUGUCGUCAGCUCGUGCCGUGAGGUGUUGGAUUAAGUUCCGCAACGAGCGCAACCCUCGUUACUAGUUGCCAUCAUUCAGUUGGGCACUCUAGUGAGACUGCCAGCGUCAAGCUGGAGGAAGGUGGGGACGACGUCAGGUCAUCAUGCCCCUUACGUCCUGGGCUACACACGUGCUACAAUGGGCGGCACAACGGGUUGCCACCUCGCAAGAGGGCGCGAAUCCCUUAAAACCGUUCUCAGUUCGGAUUGGAGGCUGCAACUCGCCUCCAUGAAGUUGGAAUUGCUAGUAAACGUGGAUCAGCAUGCCGCGUUGAAUACGUACCCGGGGCUUGUACACACCGCCCGUCACACCACGAAAGUCUGCUGUACUCGAAGUCGCUGAG